UUUCCGUAGGUGAACCUGCGGAAGGAUCAUUAUCGUACAAAAUGUGAGGGGCAUGCGAGGGCUGUCGCUGACCCAAAAGUCGUGCACGCCCGAGUGUGUCCUCUUGCAUAAUAAUCCCUCUCACCCUUUGUGCAUCACCGCGUGGGCACCCUUCGGGAUCGUCUCGGAGGGGGGCUCGCGUUUUCACACAAUACCCCCUUUUAAAAGUGUAGAAUGACCACAUUUAUGCAAUCAAUACAACUUUCAACAACGGAUCUCUUGGCUCUC
rnacentral:misc_RNA from 1 species